rnacentral:rRNA from 1 species
UAGGGAAUUUUCCGCAAUGGGCGAAAGCCUGACGGAGCAACGCCGCGUGAGGGAUGAAGGUUUUCGGAUCGUAAACCUCUGUCUUUGGGGACGAUAAUGACGGUACCCAAGGAGGAAGCCACGGCUAACUACGUGCCAGCAGCCGCGGUAAUACGUAGGUGGCAAGCGUUGUCCGGAAUUACUGGGCGUAAAGGGCGUGUAGGCGGCCUUUUAAGUCAGACGUGAAAACCCUGGGCUUAACCCAGGAACUGCGUUUGAAACUGGAAGGCUUGAGGACCGGAGAGGGUAGUGGAAUUCCCAGUGUAGCGGUGAAAUGCGUAGAUAUUGGGAGGAACACCAGUGGCGAAGGCGACUGCCUGGACGGCACCUGACGCUGAGGCGCGAAAGCUAGGGGAGCAAACGGGAUUAGAUACCCGCGUAGUCC